rnacentral:rRNA from 1 species
UACCGUGAGGGAUAGUUGAAAAGCACUUUGAAGAGAGAUUUCAAGAGGACGUGAAACCGGUAGGAGGGAAACGGAUAGAGCCAACGAACAAGCCCGUAUUCGAGCUAGUCGGCUUCGUGCGGCACUGCCAUUGCGCUCGAUAUGGGUAGUGGUGGUGUGUGCGGCAUAAGCGGUUGGUCUAGUGCAUUUGCCGCUGGUUGGAUGUGCGCUGAGGCGUGUGGUGGUGUCCUGCGAACCGUCUGGAGAGGACUUGCCUUCGGGCUUACCGCACAUAAAAACCUACCCAGAGCGAGCGAAGUAGGGUUACUGCUGCAUGUAGAUGUGGACUAGGUGCAAACGCGGUGUCGUGCUUUCGGGCUAGCUACUCGGUCGGUCGCAUGCGACUAGGCCUUGUUGGUUGGUCUUGGGGAUGCGGCACUGCUCUGGUCUAUCCUCGGUGUAAAAGUACUGGUCAUCUCUCCGACCCGUCUUGAAACACGGACCAAGGAGUCUAGCGUAUACGCGAGUCAUUGGGUGGAAAUACCCAUAGGCGCAAUGAAAGUGAAGGUCUCUUUAUGAGGCUGAGUUCCCAUGCGACCCGUUGCACUUCGGUGUACAGCGGAGUCCAGCAUAGCCCCGUCUCGACUGCUUGCAGUGGGGCGGAGGUAGAGCGUAUGCGCUGGUACCCGAAAGAUGGUGAACUUAUGCCUGAGCAGGCAUGAAGCCARAUGGAAUACUCUAGGCUGGAGGUCUCGAARCGCUUCUGAGCUGCAAGAUCGAUCGUCUGACUUGGGUAUAGGGGCGAAAGACUAAUCGAACCAUCUAGAGCGG